CUCUACUCAGCUCUCCCCAUCACCCCCAAACUAAUGGCUUAUGUGAGCGUUUCAAUGGAACGCUCAAACAGAUGCUCAAGACCUUUACUAGUGAGUAUAGGGAUUGGAAGCGAUUCCUGCCGCAUCUCCUGUUCGCAUAUCGGGAGGUGCCCCAGGAAUCGACAGGUUUCUCCCCCUUUGAGUUACUCUAUGGGAGAAAGGUGCGAUGGCCCCUGGACCUUAUUAGAGAACACUGGGAGGGAGCAAUCGAGAACAAUGGGAUCCCCAUCGUACCAUAUGUGCUGGAGCUUAGGGACCUUAUGGAGC